GCUGCAGCCUGCCUGCAUCUCUAUCUGCCAAGUGCCUCAGCCAGGAGCCCUGGACCAUCAGACCAUUGUCACCACGUCUCCGUUCUCCCACCUGCAGGGGAGAACACACCUGAUCCCUUGGCCUCUGUCUGAUGACCUCAGGCUCCUUUUGGACUCACAUGUGCAUUUGGGAAGGAGUCUUGUGAGCAACUGGUCCAGCCUCGGUCCCUCCGACACAGCAUCUUGUCCCUGUCCCAGGUUCCCACCUGCUCUACACAUUGCUCCGGGGGUAUGGAGGAAAAGGCGGUGGCUGGGAUGGUUCCAGAAGAAGGUCACCCAUGGAGUCUCACUUUUCCUCUGGGGAUCGGGGCAAGGAGGCUUUUGUUGGUGUUUGGUUGCCUCAGGUUAUAUGUGGGGAAAUCAGUGCAUUAUUCACAUGGGGACCUGAAUUUGUUCUUUCCUCCAGGCUUGGGUUGAGGUGACCUGUAUGGGCAGCUCCCCUCUCUUCCCUGUCUCUCUUAGACCUCAUGCUUCUCUACUCACUAGAACACGGCUGCAGCAGAUGCUUCUCUACUCACUAGAACACGGCUGCAGCAGAUGCUUCUCUANNNNNNNNN
rnacentral:lncRNA from 1 species